rfam:Bombyx mori DNA, contig: Bm_scaf11_contig9019, strain: p50T/Dazao, build 2, whole genome shotgun sequence.
UUAACUCCAAUGUGUAUGGAGUUGGAACGAUUGCUUACGUUUGCCGCUAAGGGCGCUGUUCCAACUGCGUACAAAUUUGAGUUA